AGAGUUUGAUCCUGGCUCAGGAUGAACGCCGGCGGUGUGCCUAAUACAUGCAAGUCGUACGCACUGGCCCAACUGAUUGAUGGUGCUUGCACCUGAUUGACGAUGGAUCACCAGUGAGUGGCGGACGGGUGAGUAACACGUAGGUAACCUGCCUCGGAGCGGGGGAUAACAUUUGGAAACAGAUGCUAAUACCGCAUAACAACAAAAGCCACAUGGCUUUUGUUUGAAAGAUGGCUUUGGCUAUCACUCUGGGAUGGACCUGCGGUGCAUUAGCUAGUUGGUAAGGUAACGGCUUACCAAGGCAAUGAUGCAUAGCCGAGUUGAGAGACUGAUCGACCACGAUGGAACUGAGACACGGUCCAUACUCCUACGGGAGGCAGCAGUAGGGAAUCUUCCACAAUGGGCGCAAGCCUGAUGGAGCAACACCGCGUGAGUGAAGAAGGGUUUCGGCUCGUAAAGCUCUGUUGUUGGAGAAGAACGUGCGUGAGAGUAACUGUUCACGCAGUGACGGUAUCCAACCAGAAAGUCACGGCUAACUACGUGCCAGCAGCCGCGGUAAUACGUAGGUGGCAAGCGUUAUCCGGAUUUAUUGGGCGUAAAGCGAGCGCAGGCGGUUGCUUAGGUCUGAUGUGAAAGCCUUCGGCUUAACCGAAGAAGUGCAUCGGAAACCGGGCGACUUGAGUGCAGAAGAGGACAGUGGAACUCCAUGUGUAGCGGUGGAAUGCGUAGAUAUAUGGAAGAACACCAGUGGCGAAGGCGGCUGUCUGGUCUGCAACUGACGCUGAGGCUCGAAAGCAUGGGUAGCGAACAGGAUUAGAUACCCUGGUAGUCCAUGCCGUAAACGAUGAGUGCUAGGUGUUGGAGGGUUUCCGCCCUUCAGUGCCGGAGCUAACGCAUUAAGCACUCCGCCUGGGGAGUACGACCGCAAGGUUGAAACUCAAAGGAAUUGACGGGGGCCCGCACAAGCGGUGGAGCAUGUGGUUUAAUUCGAAGCUACGCGAAGAACCUUACCAGGUCUUGACAUCUUGCGCUAACCUUAGAGAUAAGGCGUUCCCUUCGGGGACGCAAUGACAGGUGGUGCAUGGUCGUCGUCAGCUUGUGUCGUGAGAUGUUGGGUUAAGUCCCGCAACGAGCGCAACCCUUGCUACUAGUUGCCAGCAUUAAGUUGGGCACUCUAGUGAGACUGCCGGUGACAAACCGGAGGAAGGUGGGGACGACGUCAGAUCAUCAUGCCCCUUAUGACCUGGGCUACACACGUGCUACAAUGGACGGUACAACGAGUCGCAAGCUCGCGAGAGUAAGCUAAUCUCUUAAAGCCGUUCUCAGUUCGGACUGUAGGCUGCAACUCGCCUACACGAAGUCGGAAUCGCUAGUAAUCGCGGAUCAGCAUGCCGCGGUGAAUACGUUCCCGGGCCUUGCACACACCGCCCGUCA
rnacentral:rRNA from 1 species